rnacentral:rRNA from 1 species
AACGAACGCUGGCGGCAUGCCUAACACAUGCAAGUCGAACGAAGGCUUCGGCCUUAGUGGCGCACGGGUGCGUAACGCGUGGGAACCUGCCCCUCGGUUCGGAAUAACAGUUAGAAAUGACUGCUAAUACCGGAUGAUGACUUCGGUCCAAAGAUUUAUCGCCGAGGGAUGGGCCCGCGUAGGAUUAGCUAGUUGGUGGGGUAAAGGCCUACCAAGGCGACGAUCCUUAGCUGGUCUGAGAGGAUGAUCAGCCACACUGGGACUGAGACACGGCCCAGACUCCUACGGGAGGCAGCAGUGGGGAAUAUUGGACAAUGGGCGAAAGCCUGAUCCAGCAAUGCCGCGUGAGUGAUGAAGGCCUUAGGGUUGUAAAGCUCUUUUACCAGGGAUGAUAAUGACAGUACCUGGAGAAUAAGCUCCGGCUAACUCCGUGCCAGCAGCCGCGGUAAAGU